rnacentral:rRNA from 1 species
GUGAGGAAUUUUCCGCAAUGGGCGAAAGCCUGACGGAGCAAUGCCGCGUGAAGGAUGAAGGCCUUCGGGUUGUAAACUGCUUUUGUACGGAACGAAACGGUCCUGGUUAAUACCUGGGGCUAAUGACGGUACCGUAAGAAUAAGCACCGGCUAACUACGUGCCAGCAGCCGCGGUAAUACGUAGGGUGCGAGCGUUAAUCGGAAUUACUGGGCGUAAAGCGUGCGCAGGCGGUGCUGUAAGACAGGCGUGAAAUCCCCGGGCUCAACCUGGGAAUUGCGAUUGUGACUGCAGUGCUGGAGUACGGGAGAGGGGGAUGGAAUUCCGCGUGUAGCAGUGAAAUGCGUAGAUAUGCGGAGGAACACCGAUGGCGAAGGCAGUCCCCUGGGCCUGUACUGACGCUCAUGCACGAAAGCGUGGGGAGCAAACAGGAUUAGAAACCCGAGUAGUCC